CAGCGCCACAAGUGGCAAUCACGUUUAUUGGGCCUAAAGCGUCCGUAGCCGGUUUAGCAAAUCUUUUGUGAAAUCGUCAGGCUUAACUUGACGAAUUGCAGAAGACACUACUAAACUAGGGACUGGGAGGAGUCAGAAGUAUUCUGGGGGGACCGGUAAAAUGGUAUAAUCCCCAGAGGACUACCGAUGGCGAAGGCAUCUGACCAGAACAGAUCCGACGGUGAGGGACGAAAGUCAGGGGAGCAAACCGGAUUAGAUACCCGUGUAGUCC
rnacentral:rRNA from 1 species